rnacentral:rRNA from 1 species
UUGAACGCUGGCGGCAUGCCUUACACAUGCAAGUCGAACAGUAGAGGGGCAACCCUUGAGAGUGGCGAACGGGUGAGUAAUAUAUCGGAACGUGCCCAGUCGUGGGGGAUAACGCAGCGAAAGCUGCGCUAAUACCGCAUACGAUCUAUGGAUGAAAGCGGGGGAUCGCAAGACCUCGCGCGAUUGGAGCGGCCGAUAUCAGAUUAGGUAGUUGGUGGGGUAAAAGCCCACCAAGCCGACGAUCUGUAGCUG